CAGCAGCCGCGGGAAUACGAAGGGGGCUAGCGUUGCUCGGAAUUACUGGGCGUAAAGGGAGCGUAGGCGGACAUUUAAGUCAGGGGUGAAAUCCCAGAGCUCAACUCUGGAACUGCCUUUGAUACUGGGUGUCUUGAGUGUGAUAGAGGUAUGUGGAACUCCGAGUGUAGAGGUGAAAUUCGUAGAUAUUCGGAAGAACACCAGUGGCGAAGGCGACAUACUGGAUCAUUACUGACGCUGAGGCUCGAAAGCGUGGGGAGCAAACAGGAUUAGAUACCCGCGUAGUCCCUGUCUCUUAUAA
rnacentral:rRNA from 1 species